rnacentral:rRNA from 1 species
GACGAACGCUGGCGGCGUGCCUAAUACAUGCAAGUCGAACGAACCGCGACUAGGUGCUUGCACUUGGUCAAGGUGAGUGGCGAACGGGUGAGUAACACGUGGGUAACCUACCUCAUAGUGGGGGAUAACAGUCGGAAACGACUGCUAAUACCGCAUAGGACAUAGGAUCACAUGAUCCAGUGAGGAAAGGUGGCGCAAGCUAUCGCUAAGAGAUGGACCCGCGGUGCAUUAGCUAGUUGGUAGGGUAAAGGCCUACCAAGGCGAUGAUGCAUAGCCGACCUGAGAGGGUGAUCGGCCACAUUGGGACUGAGACACGGCCCAAACUCCUACGGGAGGCAGCAGUAGGGAAUCUUACGCAAUGGACGCAAGUCUGACGGAGCAACGCCGCGUGAGUGAAGAAGGUCUUCGGAUCGUAAAGCUCUGUUGUUAGAGAAGAACAGCGCAUAGAGUAACUGUUAUGCGUGUGACGGUAGCUAAACAGAAAGCCACGGCUAACUACGUG